UUAGCUUAUUUGUAUGAUAAUCAGACUUCACGGUUAAGCAGAGUUUGAUUGACCUCUGACGGGCGCUCGGCAGCGAAAGCCGCCGGGGAGGAACUCCCGGCCCGCCAAAGCAACUAGGUAAGUAUUCAUUGGGUGGAGGCUUGCGGGCGCUAGGCACCCAGCCAAUUUUUUAAUGAUCCUUCCGCAGGUUCACCUACGGAAA
rnacentral:misc_RNA from 1 species